AGGGGCUGUAGCGGGGUCCCUGAGAGGAUGUGUGGGGGUCCUGAGGGGAUGGGAUUCCUGAGGGGAUGGGAAGAUGGCCAUGGCGGGACCCCCACCCACAGCACUGGGCUCGGGGGGCAGUGGCUGGAAGGCGGCCAAGGGCAGCAGGCAGGGCAGGGGCAGCAGCGAAGGCAGGAGGGGAAGGCAGGGAGCCAUCGCCUGAGGAUGCUGAUGGAGACUUUGGAGCUGUCACCCCUUUUGGAAGAUGCCAAGGUUGUGAUCUCUGCUGCUUCCCUACAAAGUCCAUCCCACAGAG